rnacentral:rRNA from 1 species
UUGAGAGUUUGAUCCUGGCUCAGAACGAACGCUGGCGGCAUGCUUAACACAUGCAAGUCGAACGCUAUU